rnacentral:rRNA from 1 species
UACGGAGGGAGCUAGCGUUGUUCGGAAUUACUGGGCGUAAAGCGCACGUAGGCGGCUUUGUAAGUUAGAGGUGAAAGCCCGGAGCUCAACUCCGGAACUGCCUUUAAGACUGCAUCGCUUGAAUCCAGGAGAGGUGAGUGGAAUUCCGAGUGUAGAGGUGAAAUUCGUAGAUAUUCGGAAGAACACCAGUGGCGAAGGCAGCUCACUGGACUGGUAUUGACGCUGAGGUGCGAAAGCGUGGGGAGCAAACAGG